AUUGAACGCUGGCGGCAUGCCUUACACAUGCAAGUCGAACGGCAGCACGGGUGCUUGCACCUGGUGGCGAGUGGCGAACGGGUGAGUAAUACAUCGGAACAUGUCCUGUAGUGGGGGCUAGCCCGGCGAAAGCCGGAUUAAUACCGCAUACGAUCCACGGAUGAAAGCGGGGGACCUUCGGGCCUCGCGCUAUAGGGUUGGCCGAUGGCUGAUUAGCUAGUUGGUGGGGUAAAGGCCUACCAAGGCGACGAUCAGUAGCUGGUCUGAGAGGACGACCAGCCACACUGGGACUGAGACACGGCCCAGACUCCUACGGGAGGCAGCAGUGGGGAAUUUUGGACAAUGGGCGAAAGCCUGAUCCAGCAAUGCCGCGUGUGUGAAGAAGGCCUUCGGGUUGUAAAGCACUUUUGUCCGGAAAGAAAUCCUUGACUCUAAUACAGUCGGGGGAUGACGGUACCGGAAGAAUAAGCACCGGCUAACUACGUG
rnacentral:rRNA from 1 species